rnacentral:rRNA from 1 species
GACGAACGCUGGCGGCGUGCUUAACACAUGCAAGUCGAACGUGAUUUUUGUGGAAAUUCUUUCGGGAAUGGAAAUGAAAUGAAAGUGGCGAACGGGUGAGUAACACGUGAGCAACCUACCUUACACAGGGGGAUAGCCGUUGGAAACGACGAUUAAUACCGCAUGAGACCACAGAAUCGCAUGAUAUAGGGGUCAAAGAUUUAUCGGUGUAAGAAGGGCUCGCGUCUGAUUAGCUAGUUGGAAGGGUAAAGGCCUACCAAGGCGACGAUCAGUAGCCGGUCUGAGAGGAUGAACGGCCACAUUGGAACUGAGACACGGUCCAAACUCCUACGGGAGGCAGCAGUGGGGAAUAUUGCACAAUGGGGGGAACCCUGAUGCAGCGACGCCGCGUGAGCGAAGAAGGUUUUCGAAUCGUAAAGCUCUGUCCUAUGAGAAGAUAANGACG